GACGAACGCUGGCGGCGUGCCUAAUACAUGCAAGUAGAACGCUGAAGGAGGAGCUUGCUUCUCUGGAUGAGUUGCGAACGGGUGAGUAACGCGUAGGUAACCUGCCUGGUAGCGGGGGAUAACUAUUGGAAACGAUAGCUAAUACCGCAUAACAGUAGAUAUCGCAUGAUAUCUACUUGAAAGGUGCAAUUGCAUCACUACCAGAUGGACCUGCGUUGUAUUAGCUAGUUGGUGAGGUAACGGCUCACCAAGGCGACGAUACAUAGCCGACCUGAGAGGGUGAUCGGCCACACUGGGACGGAGACACGGCCCAGACUCCUACGGGAGGCAGCAGUAGGGAAUCUUCGGCAAUGGACGGAAGUCUGACCGAGCAACGCCGCGUGAGUGAAGAAGGUUUUCGGAUCGUAAAGCUCUGUUGUAAGAGAAGAACGAGUGUGAGAGUGGGAAGUUCACACUGUGACGGUAUCUUACCAGAAAGGGACGGCUAACUACGUG
rnacentral:rRNA from 1 species